rnacentral:lncRNA from 1 species
CUAAUGCACAUGGCACUCGUCUUUGCACAAUUUAACUGCACAAUAGUUGGUUUACAGGGGCGUAGGAAGCUCUUUUUGAUUGGAGGGGGGGGGGGGCUGAAAGCGAGGGCCGAAGGCCCGAGGAAAUUUUUAAAUUUAGAGUCUCUGAAAUGCCAUUUCCUGGACUUUGGGGGAAGAUUUGACAGAAUUCUGAUGGUCAGAAAACAGCGUUUUAGUAUGUCAAAAUUUACAAUUUGGUGGUACUAAAUGGGCGAAGGUGUAUUAAUUAACUAUAUAUUGGAUAAGUUGCAGGAAAGCGUGGGUAAUAUCUUCAUUCUUUGCAGUUUGUCAUGGAUAAUGUAGCCGCUUAAAACUAAUAAAGCUUAAAAUUGAUAAAGGUCUGCAUGAUUGUGAAAAAAAGAAUGAUUAUUAGAAAAUUAUUG